UGGGGAAUAUUGCACAAUGGGCGCAAGCCUGAUGCAGCCAUGCCGCGUGUGUGAAGAAGGCCUUCGGGUUGUAAAGCACUUUCAGCGAGGAGGAAGGCGUUAAGGUUAAUAACCUUGGCGAUUGACGUUACUCGCAGAAGAAGCACCGGCUAACUCCGUGCCAGCAGCCGCGGUAAUACGGAGGGUGCAAGCGUUAAUCGGAAUUACUGGGCGUAAAGCGCACGCAGGCGGUUUGUUAAGUCAGAUGUGAAAUCCCCGAG
rnacentral:rRNA from 1 species